CCUACGGGAGGCAGCAGUAGGGAAUAUUGCUCAAUGGGGGAAACCCUGAAGCAGCAACGCCGCGUGGAGGAUGAAGGUUUUCGGAUUGUAAACUCCUUUUGUUGGGGAGCAAAAAGGCCUCGUGAGGCCACAAGUGAGAGUACCCGAAGAAAAAGCAUCGGCUAACUCCGUGCCAGCAGCCGCGGUAAUACGGAGGAUGCGAGCGUUAUCCGGAUUUAUUGGGUUUAAAGGGUGCGUAGGCGGACUGGAAAGGCAGCGGUAAAAUCGAGAGGCUCAACCUCUUUCCGCAGUUGCAACGGUCGGUCUUGAGUGGGCGAAAAGUAUGCGGAAUGCGUGGUGUAGCGGUGAAAGGCAUAGAUAUGACGCAGAACUCCGAUUGCGAAGGCAGCAUACCGGCGCCCGACUGACGCUGAGGCACGAAAGCGUGGGUAUCGAACAGGAUUAGAUACCCGUGUAGUC
rnacentral:rRNA from 1 species